CUGUAUGAUAUUAUACUGGACCAGCGCCGUUUGGGAUGAUUGUUUCAUCUGCGGGCGCCAUCUUAGAGAUUGUAUAUUAUAGGGAGAUGAGAGGGUCUGUAUCAGAGCCGUUGAAAAACAGUUGCGACAUAGACUUCCAUAGGAACUUUGGAAUACGGAAGUAAAGCGUGUAGUGGAGCAGCCGAUAGUUCCAAACACUGAUAGUUCCAGCGCUGAACCCCAUUCAUUUUCAGUGAUUCCGAAGUUCACUCGCUGUUCUCUCCAGCAGCAAGAGGCUUGACUCGACUCAAGACCCGGUCUCCUCUGCGUUUUUGUUGUGUUUUGGUCGAUCGGAUCACAAGUGGACGAGGGAGACACAUACACGUUUACACCUGGUGUUUUAAUCGUCUCUUUUGUCAACUUUCAACCACUUCUGUCCUGAUUUCUUCGAGCAGAGGGUCUACUGGAGGGUAAACGUAUGUUGUUGUUUUUUUUGUUUUUUUUCAGAUCUUUCAAUCUAAAGAACAAAAAAAGCUUGAGCAGUUUACAUAUGAACACGCCCAGAGAUGACAGGAAAUCAUACUGAGAGCAUCAGUGUUCUUUUUACCCUGACAGCCACAAGACCAGUCGAACACUGUGAGUGUGUGUGUUAGAAAUCAGAAUGGUGAGAGAACAUUGUGCUUGGUACAUUUUUCAUCUUCAAAUCAAACUUGGGUCUUCAGCUGACAAAAUUUAAACCCUGUCUGGCUUGAGUUUGAAUGCUUUUGUUAUCAUUGUACGGAUAAGCAUUUGACUGAUUCUCGAUUCACCACCAGGUCUCCAGAUCAGCUGCGCUGGAAGAAUGUAAUGGCUAUUGUGAACACUUGUAUUCCUAUUCUGGCCUGCUUUCUGCCAUCUUACUCUCUCUGUAGGUAGUCGAAUGAGUUUCUUUGAAGACAGAACAUUCAAGGAAAACUUGCCUACCCUCUCCCUGUAUAUAAUAUAUAAUUAAAUGUUUUGUUGAAUGCAA